AUACGGAGGGUGCAAGCGUUGUUCGGAAUUAUUGGGCGUAAAGCGCGCGCAGGCGGCUUGCCAAGUCUGAUGUGAAAGCCCGGGGCUCAACCUCGGAACUGCAUUGGAAACUGGUAGGCUUGAGUAUGAGAGGGGUUUGUGGAAUUCCUGGUGUAGGGGUGAAAUCCGUAGAUAUCGGGAGGAACACCGGUGGCGAAGGCGACAAACUGGAUCAUUACUGACGCUGAGGUGCGAAAGCGUGGGGAGCAAACAGGAUUAGAAACCCCAGUAGUCC
rnacentral:rRNA from 1 species